GCACCGCUGAGGAGUCCCAUACUAGGACGAAACGAUCUUCCAGUAU
rfam:Schistosoma haematobium scaffold39_8, whole genome shotgun sequence.